UUGGGGGUGCUGCAGAUUUUUGAAAAAGAUCACCAGCUCCAUAAGGAGACGAUGAAUAUAAUGGGAGGAUCUUCUUUGGGUGGGCUUCAUCCCAUUAAGAAAGGGAAGAAAAAGAAGAAUAAAAAGGUACAAAGUAUUGAGAAUCAGACUCAGAAGUCCAAGUCUAACUAAAGUCAGGCAGAGUGCUUCUACUAUAGGAAGCA
rnacentral:lncRNA from 1 species